GCCAGUGUGGCUCAGUGGUUAGAGCGUCGAGCUGGGAACCGGGAGGUCCCGGGUUCGAUUCCCG
rnacentral:tRNA from 1 species